rnacentral:rRNA from 1 species
GACGAACGCUGGCGGCGUGCUUAACACAUGCAAGUCGAACGAAGUGGCGAACGGGUGAGUAACGCGUAAUCAACCUGCCCUUCAGGGGGGGACAACAGUGGGAAACGACUGCUAAAACCGCAUACGGACGGAGGAGAUUGCGUCGGAUUAGCUAGUUGGGGGGGUAACGGCCAACCAAGGCGAUGAUCAGUAGCCGGGCUGAGAGGAUGAACGGCCACAUUGGGACUGAGACACGGCCCAGACUCCUACGGGAGGCAGCAGUGGGGAAUCUUCCGCAAUGGACGAAAGUCUGACGGAGCAACGCCGCGUGAGUGAUGACGGCCUUCGGGUUGUAAAGCUCUGUUAAUCGGGACGCGGUACCGGAAUAGAAAGCCACGGCUAACUACGUGCCAGCAGCCGCGGUAAUUC